rnacentral:rRNA from 1 species
AUUGAACGCUGGCGGCAGGCCUAACACAUGCAAGUCGAACGGUAGCACAGAGAGCUUGCUCUCGGGUGACGAGUGGCGGACGGGUGAGUACUGUCUGGGAAACUGCCCGAUGGAGGGGGAUAACUACUGGAAACGGUAGCUAAUACCGCAUAACGUCGCAAGACCAAAGUGGGGGACCUUCGGGCCUCACACCCUCGGAUGUGCCCAGAUGGGAUUAGCAAGUAGGUGGGGUAAUGGCUCACCUAGGCGACGAUCCCUAGCUGGUCUGAGAGGAUGACCAGCCACACUGGAACUGAGACACGGUCCAGACUCCUACGGGAGGCAGCAGUGGGGAAUAUUGCACAAUGGGCGCAAGCCUGAUGCAGCCAGGCCGCGUGUAUGAAGAAGGCCUUCGGGUUGUAAAGUACUUUCAGCGGGGAGGAAGGCGGUGAAGUUAAUAGCUUCACCGAUUGACGUUACCCGCAGAAGAAGCACCGGCUAACUCCGUGCCAGCCGCCGCAGUAA